rnacentral:misc_RNA from 1 species
AACCAUAGAAACCUGCGGAGUACCUGCGGAAGGAUCAUUACCGAGUUAUACAACUCAUCAACCCCUGUGAACUUACCUACAACGUUGCUUCGGCGGGAACAGACGGCCCCGUAAAACGGGCCGCCCCCGCCAGAGGACCCCUAACUCUGUUUUUAUAAUGUUUUUCUGAGUAAACAAGCAAAUAAAUUAAAACUUUUAACAAUGGAUCU